AUUGAACGCUGGCGGCAUGCCUUACGCAUGCAAGUCGAACGGCAGCGCGGACUUCGGUCUGGGGCGAGUGGCGAACGGGUGAGUAAUGCAUCGGAACGUACCUUUCAGUGGGGGAUAACGUAGCGAAAGUUACGCUAAUACCGCAUAUUCUGUGAGCAGGAAAGCAGGGGAUCGCAAGACCUUGCGCUGAUGGAGCGGCCGAUGUCAGAUUAGCUAGUUGGUGGGGUAAAGGCUCACCAAGGCGACGAUCUGUAGCGGGUCUUAGAGGAUGAUCCGCCACACUGGAACUGAGACACGGUCCAGACUCCUACGGGAGGCAGCAGUGGGGAAUUUUGGACAAUGGGCGCAAGCCUGAUCCAGCCAUGCCGCGUGAGUGAAGAAGGCCUUCGGGUUGUAAAGCUCUUUCGGCCGGGAAAAAAUCGCUUGGGUUAAUACCCUGAGUGGAUGAUGGUACCGGAAUAAGAAGCACCGGCUAACUACGUGCCAGCAGCCGCGGUAAUACGUAGGGUGCGAGCGUUAAUCGGAAUUACUGGGCGUAAAGCGUGCGCAGGCGGUUUUGUAAGACAGGCGUGAAAUCCCCGGGCUCAACCUGGGAACUGCGUUUGUGACUGCAAGGCUAGAGUAUGGCAGAGGGGGGUGGAAU
rnacentral:rRNA from 1 species